ensembl:misc_RNA Metazoa_SRP Metazoan signal recognition particle RNA
GCCGGGCAUGGUGAUGCAUGCCUGUAAUCCCAGCUACUGGAGAGGCUGAGGCAGGAGAAUUGCUUGAACCCAGGAGGUAGAGGCUGCAGUGAGCUGAGAUUGCACCACUGCACUUUAGCCUGGGUGACAGAGCAAGACUCGGUCUCAU